UGAGACUCUCUCUCGAGUUCCCUCUCAAAAAUAGUAGAUCAUAGUAACUCCAAUUCAAAAUCUACGAAAAGCUAUGGAUUUUUCUUGGUGCUCUCUUUCUAUUUUUGGAGGUUUGAGUUAGAUCAAACAGUUAUUUUUAAAAUGUUCGUAUUAGGAGACUCGAUUUACGAUCAGUAGUCUAGAAGACGAUUCGUCUUGUCAAUCAUAACUAUGCAGGUCCAGCACACGAACCCGCCCCGGUCACCAGGACACCUGACCGCACACUACUAACCACGGGCACCCCGACAUCAUGGUGCUCUAGAGGAGUGGCACCUACACCUACCAUGCAAGGGUGGCAUAGUGCUGGAGUAAAUGCCUCGAUCGGUGUUACGACAAUAUCAGUUAUGAGGAGAGGCAUUCUGUCCCACAUCGAUCGAAGAGGAGGAAAGCUUUCCCUCAGCUGAGAAUGGACAGAAGAGAAAAGAAAGAGGGAUGGAGGAGGGAGAAGGAAUAGAAUAGAAUAGAAUACGAGAGAAGAUUCAAUUUAUACCUUGCUGGUUUUCGUUUGUGAUUUAAAAUGAGGAUGGGCUGCUCUAGUUCCAUAACCAUAUCGGAUGUAUUGAAGUAUAUUUAUGCAGCAAGGUAAUGGUGUACAGCCUACACCUUGAGGGUGAGGACUUAAUGAUUGGUUUGGUGUUUGCCACAGAAUCUGUAUUCUUGAUAUACUUCACUUUUUGUUUUCUCAUUUUGGAAGAUAGGUUUGUGAUUUGUCAAUUAGUCUAUAAUGAAAAUUGUGAUGUAAGGCCUCUGUGAAUGGCUAUUAUAUUAAGCAAACAGUUGAUUUUAUUAGUCGUAUGUUUAUUCUAGUUUAGAUUAUCAAUAAUACAUCGGACUUUGAUUUUA